AUUAGCUUGUUGGUGGGGUAACGGCCUACCAAGGCGACGAUGGUUAGCGGGUCUGAGAGGACGAUCCGCCACACUGGAACUGAGACACGGUCCAGACUCCUACGGGAGGCAGCAGUAGGGAAUAUUGCGCAAUGGGGGCAACCCUGACGCAGCAAUGCCGCGUGAGUGAAGAAGGCCUUCGGGUCGUAAAGCUCUUUUAUGGGGGAAGACGAUGACGGUACCCCAUGAAUAAGCACCGGCUAGCUACGUGCCAGCAGCCGCGGUAAUACGUAGGGUGCGAGCGUUGUUCGGAAUUACUGGGCGUAAAGGGCGUGCAGGCGGAUUGGCAAGCCGGAGGUGAAAGCCCGGGGCUCAACCCCGGAGGGUCUUUCGGAACUGCCAGUCUUGAGAGGGUCAGGGGCCAGCGGAAUUCCUGGUGUAGAGGUGAAAUUCGUAGAGAUCAGGAGGAACACCGGCGGCGAAAGCGGCUGGCUGGGGCCACUCUGACGCUGAGGCGCGAAAGCGUGGGGAGCAAACAGGAUUAGAUACCCUGGUAGUCCACGCCGUAAACGAUGGGCACUAAGCGUCCGACGGGUUCGACCCUGUUGGGUGCUGCAGUU
rnacentral:rRNA from 1 species